rnacentral:tRNA from 1 species
GCGCAUGUGGUGGAAUUGGUAGACACGCCAUCUUGAGGGGGUGGUGGCCUUUUGGUCGUGGAGGUUCGAAUCCUCUUAUGCGCA